rnacentral:tRNA from 1 species
GGAGAGGUGGCCGAGCAAGGCUGAAGGCGCUCGCCUGCUAAGCGAGUAUAGGGGCUUAAACCUCUAUCGAGGGUUCAAAUCCCUCCCUCUCCGCCA